GCAUUAUACCGCGAAACUGCGAAUGGCUCAUUAAAUCAGUUAUCGUUUAUUUGAUAGUACCUUACUACUUGGAUAACCGUGGUAAUUCUAGAGCUAAUACAUGCUAAAAAUCCCGACUUCGGAAGGGAUGUAUUUAUUAGAUUAAAAACCAAUGCCCUUUGGGCUCACUGGUGAUUCAUGAUAACUUCUCGAAUCGCAUGGCCUUGCGCCGGCGAUGGUUCAUUCAAAUUUCUGCCCUAUCAACUUUCGACGGCUGGGUCUUGGCCAGCCAUGGUGACAACGGGUAACGGAGGGUUAGGGCUCGACCCCGGAGAAGGAGCCUGAGAAACGGCUACUACAUCCAAGGAAGGCAGCAGGCGCGCAAAUUACCCAAUCCCGACACGGGGAGGUAGUGACAAUACAUACUGAUACAGGGCUCUUUUGGGUCUUGUAAUUGGAAUGAGUACAAUUUAAAUCCCUUAACGAGGAACAAUUGGAGGGCAAGUCUGGUGCCAGCAGCCGCGGUAAUUCCAGCUCCAAUAGCGUAUAUUAAAGUUGUUGCGGUUAAAAAGCUCGUAGUUGAACCUUGGGCCUGGCUGGCCGGUCCGCCUCACCGCGUGCACUGGUACGGUCGGGCCUUUCCCUCUGGGGAACCGCAUGCCCUUCACUGGGUGUGUCGGGGAACCAGGACUUUUACUUUGAAAAAAUUAGAGUGUUCAAAGCAGGCUUAUGCUCGGAUACAUUAGCAUGGAAUAAUAGAAUAGGACGUGCGGUUCUAUUUUGUUGGUUUCUAGGACCGCCGUAAUGAUUAAUAGGGACAGUCGGGGGCAUCAGUAUUCAAUUGUCAGAGGUGAAAUUCUUGGAUUUAUUGAAGACUAACUACUGCGAAAGCAUUUGCCAAGGAUGUUUUCAUUAAUCAGGAACGAAAGUUAGGGGAUCGAAGACGAUCAGAUACCGUCGUAGUCUUAACCAUAAACUAUGCGAACUAGGGAUCGGACGAUGUUAUUAUUUGACUCGUUCGGCACCUUACACGAAAGUACAAG
rnacentral:rRNA from 1 species